GUAGAAGUGAAGAAGAAGAGAUUGUUGGAGGAGUUAGUGAAGUUAGAUAGGGGGAAGGAAAGGAGUACAAGGAUCACAAUUAAGGAGAAUAUGGAGUGGGAUAGAGUGAUUUUAAAGGUGAAGCGGUUGGCUUCGUUGGAGGAAAUAUCGUUGAGAUAGAAGUCUAGAGUUUUAUGGCUCAAGGAGGGAGAUAAUAACUCAAAGUUUUUUCUUCGGAUGGCUAAUUCUCAUAGAAGAAAUAAUUAUUUAGGUAAUUUAGAGGUGGAUGGUGUGGUAUAUGAAGAUGAGGCUAAGGUGGUUGUUCAAGUAGUGGGCUUUUAUCAAAAGUUAUAUAAGGAGACAGAAACAUGGCGACCUGUGGUGGAUGAUUUGAAUUUUGAUACUAUUGGGGAAGUGGAGAGUGGUUUGCUUGAAUGGAGACAAAGCCCCUAGACCUAAUGGAUUUACGAUGGCCUUUUUCCAUCAUUGUUGGAGGGUUAUGGAGAGUGAUAUUUUAGCAUUCUUUGAUGAAUCUAAUGUUAUUUUAGAUUCAAGAAGGAAGAAAUUUUACAGGUUGUGCAUGAUAUGGAGGGGGACAAAGCCCCAUGACCUGAUGGAUUUACGAUGGCCUUUUUUCAUCAUUGUUGGAGGGUUAUUAAGAGUGAUAUUUUAGCAUUCUUUGAUGAAUCUUAUGAUUAUGGUAAAUUUGAGAAGUCCUUGAAUGCUUUGUUUACUGCUCUUAUUCCUAAGAAACAUAAAGCCUCUAACAUUAGAGAUUUUAGACCGAUAAGUCUACUGAGUAGUGUCUAUAAGAUGUUGGCUAAGGUCUUGGCUUACCAAUUGAGAGGGGUGCUAAAUGGUCUCAUUUUUUAAUCUUAAAAUACAUUUGUGGGGGGUUGUUAGAUUUUGGAUUCAGUUUUGGUUGCAAAUGAGUGUGUUGAUAAUCGUAUUAGUAGUAAGAUACCUGAGGUAAUCUGUAAAUUGGAUAUAAAAAAAGUUUAUGAUCAUGUAAAUUGGGAAGCCUUGCUUUACUUGUUGCAAAGGAUGGGUUUUGGAGUUAGAUGGCGACAAUGGAUCCAUACUUUUAUCUCAACUAUCCAGUUUUUAGUUUUAGUUAAUGCUCUCCAGCUAGUUUUUUUCCUAAUUUGAGAGGUUUAAGGCAAUGGGAUCCUUUAAGUCCUAUGCUAUUCCUUCUGGUGAUGGAAGUAUUUUCUAGGAUGCAUAGGCGUAUGGAGGAGGUUGGUAUUACUAGGGGUUUUAAGGUGCGUGGUGUGGGAGGUGAUGAGUUAUGCGUAUCUCACCUGUUAUUUGCAGAUGAUACCAUUUUGUUCUGUAACCCUAGUGUUGAACAAUUUCUUCGUAUUAGGAUGUUACUAACUUGUUUCACAGCAGUUAUAGGGCUAAAGAUUAAUGUUAGUAAAAGUAAGAUGGUUUCGGUUGGUGAGGUGAAUAAUUUGGAUGAGUUAGUAGAAGUUUUGGAGACUCUCCCCCUUGGGAAAUCUGUGGUUGGUUGUAAGUGAUUCUACAAGAUCAAGACUCGCUCUGAUGGGUCCAUUGAGUGAUAUGAAGCUUGUCUUGUUGCAAAAAGUUUUACACAAGAGUAUGAGAUUGAUUAUGAAGAGACCUUUGCUCCGGUUGCGCGAGUCUAAUCUGUUUAUGCUCUCUUAGCGGUUGUCGCUGCUAGUAAAUGGGAUCUUUUUCAAAUGGAUGUUAAAAAUGCAUUCCUUAAUGGGAAUUUAAGUGAAGAAAUUUAUAUGCAACCUCCUUUUGGUCUUUUUAUUGAAUUGGACAAGGUUUGUCACCUUCGACGUGCACUUUAUGGCCUUAAAUAAGCUCCACAAGCUUAGUUUGCCAAGUUCAGCUCUACCAUCUCUUGCUUGGGUUACAUUGCCAGUCAUCAUGAUUCUGUCUUAUUUCUUUGUCGCACCAAUAAAGGCACCAUUUUACCUUUCCUAUAUGUGGAUGAUAUGAUCAUAAUUGGUUAUGACCUCAGUGACAUUUAAAAACUUAAGGAUUUUCUCAGUCAGUAGUUUGAGAUGAAAUAUCUUGGACAUUUCAGCUACUUCUUAGAUCUUGAAAUCACUCAUUCCAUAGAUGGGCUUUAUAUUACUCAGGCCAAGUAUGCUUUUGAACUUUUGUCUUGAGCUAGACUCACUAAUAUCAAGACUAUUAACACUCCAGUUGAACUUAAUGCACAUUUGACUCCCUUGGGGGUGAAACCAUUGUCUAAUCCCUCUCUUUACAGAUGAUUGGUUGGUAGUCUAGUUUAUCUCACUGUCACUUGUCCAGAUAUUUCCUAUGUUGUUCACCAGGUGAGCCAGUAUCUUUCUGCUCCAUGAUCGAAUCACUAUGCUGUUGUUCUGUGCAUUCUUCGAUACUUAAAGGACACUCUCUUCCAUGGUUUUUUCUACACUGUUCAGUCUCCUCUUGUUCUUCGUGCAUUCUCUAAUACUAAUUGAGAAGGAAAUUCCACUAAUUGCAGGUCCACCAUUGGUUAUUGCUUUCUUCUUGGUUCUUCUUUGAUUUCUUGGUGAAGCAAGAAACAAACCCUUGUGGCCCAUUCCAGUACUGAAGCAGAAUAUCAUGCCUUUGUUGAUACCACAUUUGAGCUCCUUUGGCUAUGAUGGCUUUUUAAGGACUUAGACUAAACACAUCAAGAUUGAUUGUCAUUUUAUCCAUUACCAUCUUGUCCAUGGUGCUCUCAAGUUGUUCUCAGUUUCUUCUAAAGAUCAACUUACAGAUAUUUUCACCAAGUCACAUUUUAAGGGACGCCUUUGUGCUUUGGUUGACAACUUCAAGUUGGUCUUACACCCAUCUUGAGUUUGAGGGAGGCUGUUAACGUGUAAUAGGACUGUGGGCUUUAGACCCACCUUGUUUGCUUGUAUAGCACACAUACUUGUACUACACACUCUGCUUCCUAUAUAAAGGUAUUCAUAUAUAUUUUAUUCUCUGAGAAAUACAAUACUAUUCAUUUAGUAUUUCUAA